UCAGCAGGCUUAAGCUUAGUGGCUGUUGAGAAUCUGCAGGGCUCCACAGUUGGGACCCUAGGCCCCAGUUGCAUGGACUCACCAGUGGGCUCUUCCGAUCUUUAAACUCCAGCACCACAACCUUGCUACUAUCUCGCACCUGAAACAAGCUAACAUGGUUGACACCUCUAAUUCCAUCCACCCUCCUCUCCCUAGGAGGCCUA
rnacentral:lncRNA from 1 species